rnacentral:ncRNA from 1 species
GGGCGUCACCGGGGGUGCCCCAAAAGGGGCUGAGAGAUACCCUUGGAACCUGAUCCGGGUAAUGCCGGCGUAGGGAAGGUGACGGGCCCCUCCC